UGGAUCAAAGUGAAGCAACGCAUGAAUUAGCGAGCUAAAUUUUAAAACAUAAGGGAGGGAAAUUGGGGCGCAAAUUGAAGGCUGUGCACAAGGGAAGGAUUCAGCGCGCAAUUUCCCCAUUCACACAACAUGGUGCAGAUCCAUUUUACUAUUCGGGCCCACGCGCGGACCUUUAUGGUCAUGGGCAGCACUGUUUUGUAUUUCAGACCAUUUUAAACCAUUUUUCCCUUCCUUUCCUUUCAAAUACCCAUCCAUUUUAACAAAAACCAGCAGCCUUGAAAUUAAAUUUGCUAGGGUUCCUUUUACAAGCAGCUAGAUCUCCAUCAGAUUUGGUGUCCAGCGGCGCGCAAAACAAUUCCCGAUUCUGUUGCUGUAAGUACUCGAUUAUGCCUUGAGGAAAUUAGUACGGAGCACGGGGCUGUGCGUUGGCACUCGGGUAUGGGUUCAGAGACUGGGGCGACGUGAGGCCGUGCGUUGGCCCUUGGCACGAGGGUAUGGGGCGAUGGCAGACAGUAUGGGCGAUUGAACUUGGGGGCUGAGAAGUUUUAGGACUAGUUGGGCUAAGG